GGUAGUGGCUCAGGGAUAGAGCAUUCGCCUAGCACGUGCAGGGCCCUGGGUUCGAGCCUUAGCACCA
rnacentral:tRNA from 1 species